GAUGAACGCUGGCGGUAUGCCUAACACAUGCAAGUCGAACGCUCUUUUCGGAGAGAGUGGCGGACGGGUGAGUAACGCGUGAGAAUCUGCCUUCAGGAUGGGGACAACAGUGGGAAACUACUGCUAAUACCCAAUAUGCCGAAAGGUGAAAGUAUUUCGCCUGAAGAGGAGCUCGCGUCCGAUUAGCUAGUUGGUGGGGUAAGAGCCUACCAAGGCAGCGAUCGGUAGCUGGUCUGAGAGGAUGAGCAGCCACACUGGGACUGAGACACGGCCCAGACUCCUACGGGAGGCAGCAGUGGGGAAUUUUCCGCAAUGGGCGAAAGCCUGACGGAGCAAUACCGCGUGAGGGAGAAGGCUUUGGGUGUAAACCUCUUUUCUCAAGGAGAAGCAAGUGACGGUACUUGAGGAAUCAGCAUCGGCU
rnacentral:rRNA from 1 species